GACGAACGCUGGCGGCGUGCUUAACACAUGCAAGUCGAACGGAAAGGCCCUGCUUUUGUGGGGUGCUCGAGUGGCGAACGGGUGGGUAACACGUGAGUAACCUGCCCUUGACUUUGGGAUAACUUCAGGAAACUGGGGCUAAUACCGGAUAGGAGCUCCUGCUGCAUGGUGGGGGUUGGAAAGUUUCGGCGGUUGGGGAUGGACUCGCGGCUUAUCAGCUUGUUGGUGGGGUAGUGGCUUACCAAGGCUUUGACGGGUAGCCGGCCUGAGAGGGUGACCGGCCACAUUGGGACUGAGAUACGGCCCAGACUCCUACGGGAGGCAGCAGUGGGGAAUAUUGCACAAUGGGCGGAAGCCUGAUGCAGCAACGCCGCGUGCGGGAUGACGGCCUUCGGGUUGUAAACCGCUUUCGCCUGUGACGAAGCGUGAGUGACGGUAAUGGGUAAAGAAGCACCGGCCAACUACGUG
rnacentral:rRNA from 1 species